UGAUACGACGGUUGUCAGAAAUUAGUCAUCGUCGAAAUUGGUUGGCUAGUUUUUGUCCGUAGCGAGCAUUUUUUGUUUUAAUGUGCGCUGAAACAUCGUGUUUUUUUUUGUGUUUCUCGCGGUAUAUUGAACAUGUAAUUUUAUUUUAAUUUUAUGGCGUCGGCUGAACCGCCUCCACUCCUUAGCCCUUCGGAGCUGGUCCCUCGACAUGGCAAGCAUGUUACAAAACCACCUGUCAUGUUAAUGUGUUUUAUAAAACUUUAAGAAACCCAAGUGUGAGGGACUCGUUAGAAGACUAUCCCUCCCCCCUUUUACUCAUUGUGUAAUUCUCUGUUGGUUGUGAAUAUUCUACUGAUAAUGUGAUAUGUGAUACGUUUUUUAAACCGUGGUGUCCCAAUGCCUUUCAAGUAAGGGCCAAACUACAAAAAAAUAGUUUAUCAGUUUGGGGCAUACGGUCGGCUGGAAUAAUGGUAUACGAUGUUUGAUAUAUUAAUAUACAUAUCAUAAAUACACAAUAAAUGAAAACGAUUAUGAUAAUUAUUAGGAAGUCAAUAUGUCUUAACAACAAUAAAAAAAUAACUCGUUUUUUAUAAAUUUGAUGGCCUUCAAUAUUUGCCGCUGUAGGCAGAUGCCUAUAUUGCCUGCAAAUGAAUACGCUGCUGUUCAGAAUAUUACUCGGAUGACGCUGUUGGUCGUCUAAACACUGCUCGUGUGUGUAUGCGUAUCCGUUUAUACUACUGGUAUCUGAAGGAAACAACUUUAAUAUUCGUACACAAAAAAUUAGAGUGUGCGAUCAUCCCAUCGUCCAAACCACAAGCCGCCAUUGGUAUUUCAUCAGGAUCAACUCUGGAAUAAAUAUCUGAACUACUUAAAUAUUCAUUAAUCUCGUUUUUACUAACAUACCACACAUGUAAUUUAAAAAUAUUAUUUGAUUUAAUAAAGGAAAUUGGAAUAUUAA